rnacentral:misc_RNA from 1 species
AGUCGUAACAAGGUUUCCGUAGGUGAACCUGCGGAAGGAUCAUUAAUGGAUUUACAAGGGGGGGUUGAUGCUGGCAGUUUAACUGCAUGUGCUCACUCUUCUGAUUUUUAUUUACACCUGUGCACUUGAUUUUUUCAAAGGGGAGGGUAGAGCCUGCCUUUGGAACUUAUAAAACCCACUUGUAUUGAAACAAUGAAUGUUUAUCUGCCACAAGGCGAAUUUUAAUACAA